rnacentral:rRNA from 1 species
GGUAGUUGUACGUACCGUGGCUCAGGAUGAACGCUGGCGGCGUGCCUAACACAUGCAAGUCGAACGAAGCAUGACCCAUGAGGCCUUCGGGCGGAAUGGGUCAUGACUUAGUGGCGGACGGGUGAGUAACGCGUGGGUAACCUGCCCUAUACUGGGGGAUAACAGCUAGAAAUGGCUGCUAAUACCGCAUGAGCGCACAGUCCCGCAUGGGACAGUGCGGAAAAACUCCGGUGGUAUAGGAUGGACCCGCGUCCCGAUCAGCUGGUUGGUGGGGUAACGGCCCACCAAGGCGACGAUCGGUAGCCGACCUGAGAGGGUGACCGGCCACAUUGAGACUGAGACACGGCCCAAACUCCUACGGGAGGCAGCAGUGGGGGGAUAUUGCACAAUGGGGGGAACCCUGAUGCAGCGACGCCGCGUGAGUGAAGGAGUACUCCGGUAUGUAAAGCUCUAUCAGCAGGGAAGAAGCAAGACGGUACCUGACCAAGAAGCCCCGGCUAACUACGUG